rnacentral:lncRNA from 1 species
GUGAGCACUGCAUACUGUGAUAGACUUUUCUUCUUUUUGAAUUUUGAAAAGUAAAAAGAAUAAACACACAAUUUAGCAUACCCAAUCAGUAGGACAUGUGGCUUCACCACCUACUGAUGUCAAGAUGCCUUCCAGGUUGGUUAACAAAUAAACAAGCAAACAGGAAGCAAAAGCCACAAAGAUUAGUAUCAUAAAAUCGCAUUUCUACC